rnacentral:rRNA from 1 species
UACGUAGGGUGCGAGCGUUAAUCGGAAUUACUGGGCGUAAAGCGCACGCAGGUGGCUGAGUCAGUCGAUUGUGAAAGCCCUGGGCUUAACCUGGGAAUUGCAGUCGAUACUACUCGGCUCGAGUAUGGGAGAGGGCAGUGGAAUUCCCGGUGUAGCGGUGAAAUGCGUAGAUAUCGGGAGGAACAUCAGUGGCGAAGGCGGCUGCCUGGCCCAAUACUGACACUCAGGUGCGACAGCGUGGGGAGCAAACAGG